CGGAUUUAUUGGGCGUAAGCGAGCGCAGGCGGUUUUUUAAGUCUGAUGUGAAAGCCUUCGGCUCAACCGAAGAAGUGCAUCGGAAACUGGGAAACUUGAGUGCAGAAGAGGACAGUGGAACUCCAUGUGUAGCGGUGAAAUGCGUAGAUAUAUGGAAGAACACCAGUGGCGAAGGCGGCUGUCUGGUCUGUAACUGACGCUGAGGCUCGAAAGUAUGGGUAGCAAACAGGAUUAGAUACCCUGGUAGUCCAUACCGUAAACGAUGAAUGCUAAGUGUUGGAGGGUUUCCGCCCUUCAGUGCUGCAGCUAACGCAUUAAGCAUUCCGCCUGGGGAGUACGGCCGCAAGGCUGAAACUCAAAGGAAUUGACGGGGGCCCGCACAAGCGGUGGAGCAUGUGGUUUAAUUCGAAGCUACGCGAAGAACCUUACCAGGUCUUGACAUACUAUGCAAAUCUAAGAGAUUAGACGUUCCCUUCGGGGACAUGGAUACAGGUGGUGCAUGGUUGUCGUCAGCUCGUGUCGUGAGAUGUUGGGUUAAGUCCCGCAACGAGCGCAACCCUUAUUAUCAGUUGCCAGCAUUAAGUUGGGCACUCUGGUGAGACUGCCGGUGACAAACCGGAGGAAGGUGGGGAUGACGUCAAAUCAUCAUGCCCCUUAUGACCUGGGCUACACACGUGCUACAAUGGAUGGUACAACGAGUUGCGAACUCGCGAGAGUAAGCUAAUCUCUUAAAGCCAUUCUCAGUUCGGAUUGUAGGCUGCAACUCGCCUACAUGAAGUCGGAAUCGCUAGUAAUCGCGGAUCAGCAUGCCGCGGUGAAUACGUUCCCGGGCCUUGUACACACCGCCCGUCACACCAUGAGAGUUUGUAACACCCAAAGUCGGUGGGGUAACCUUUUAGGAACCAGCCGCCUANNUGGGACAGAUGANUAGGGUGANNNA
rnacentral:rRNA from 2 species